rnacentral:rRNA from 1 species
GUCGAGAAUCUUUCACAAUGGGGGCAACCCUGAUGGAGCGACGCCGCGUGGAGGAUAAGGUCUUCGGAUUGUAAACUCCUGUCAUGCGUGAACAAGGUUGCUUGGAUAAUACCUGAGCAAAUUGAUGGUAGCGCAAGAGGAAGAGACGGCUAACUCUGUGCCAGCAGCCGCGGUAAUACAGAGGUCUCAAGCGUUGUUCGGAAUCACUGGGCGUAAAGGGUGCGUAGGUGGCGUGGUAAGUCAGAUGUGAAAGCCCGGGGCUCAACCUCGGAACUGCAUCCGAUACUGCCAUGCUAGAGUACUGGAGAGGUGACUAGAAUUCUCGGUGUAGCAGUGAAAUGCGUAGAUAUCGAGAGGAAUACCAAAGGCGUAGGCAGGUCACUGGACAGUUACUGACACUGAGGCACGAAGGCCAGGGGAGCGAACGGGAUUAGAUACCCGGGUAGUCC